GGGUUUUAUUAUUUUUUUAAUUUAUGCAACGCAUCCUCUAGUUCUUUCCUUGAGAUCACUGAGGUUAAACAGCCAUUUUGAUUGUCACCGAUUGAGGGCAGGUCCAAUGAGUUUAAAAAUGUUUUUAUAUUCUCUUUACAAUCUUGUUUUGUUUGGGAGUACAGCUUCCUGUAGUAUGUUUGGAAUGCAGCAUCAAUUUCAUCCAAAUUGUUAUACGUUUGUCCUGUUCCUGUGUCCAAAAUUUUAUAGACUGAUUGUGAAAUCUGUUUUUUCCGUAUUCUCUUUGCCAAACACUUUGUAGCUCUGGGACCUACUUCAUAAUAUGAUUGUUUUAAGUAUUUAUAUUUUUCGUCUAACUCGUCUUUAUAGCAAUUUGAUAUAUGAUUUCUGAUUUCUUUAAUUUCACACAUUAUCUGUUCGCUCUGAUUCUCACUGUGCCUUUUUUCUAGUUCACCCAGUUUUUUUUCAAGUUGAUUAAGUCUAUUUUCUUUUGCCUUCUUCAUAGCUGCGCUAAGAGAUAUCAGUUUGCCCCUGACAACUGCCUUUAAAGUGUCCCAGAGAAUAUUUGGGUUUACUUCCCCAUUAUCAUUUAUUCUGAGAAAGUCCUGUAUUUCAGCUUUUACCUGCUGUACCACCGUCUCCUUAUUAAGAAGGCUUGUAUUGAGUCUCCAGUUUGUUUUCUUGGGUCUACUGUCUAAACACAAUGUCAGGUAUAAUGGAGAAUGAUCUGAUAUAUCCCUAGUUCCAAUAUCGCAGGACUGAAUCCUAUGUCUAUCAUUCCUAAAGAUAAAGAAAAAAUCUAUUCUCGAGUACUCUGUGUGGGGCGCAGAAAAGUAUGUGUAGGUUUUCUCCGUUGGGUGUAGGUCUCUCCACACGUCCAGUAAGCCAAUCUCCUCCAGACCCCUUCUCAGUAUUUUAGUUUGAGGUGAUAUCAUCCUUUUAUUGUUUGAUGUAUCCAAUCUAUUUAUUACCGUGUUAAAAUCUCCUGCACUGAUUAAUGUACCUUGUGAUUCUGAAGCGAUAAGCUCCAGAACUUUCUUGAAAAGUUUUGGGUCACUCUGUGGAGGAAGAUAAACUGAAAGAAGGGUAGUCAUUUGAUCUUCUAUUUUACCUUGCACUAGAAUAUAUCUGCCUUCACUGUCCCUUAUUUCUUUGACUAAUUCAAAAUGUAUGGAGUUAUGUAAUAAUAUCGCAACACCUCUUUUGUGGCCUUUUUUAAACAAACUAUAAAAUAUGUUCCUGUACCCAAACUUCCUUAGUUUUUCAUGCUCACUUUGAGAUAAAUGAGUUUCCUGUAAAAAAAUGAUUUUUCCCCUUCUUUAUCUUAGCCAUUACUUUACUCCUCUUAACUGGGUUAUUUAAACCAUUCACAUUCCAAGAAGCUGCUCUAAAGCUGCUAUAGCCCAUCAUCACAAUUAAGAUCGAAUAUGCCGACAAAACAAACACAAUAACAACAGAUAUAACCAAAAGGCACCUCUAGAACGAGUGCAACAUUGACUUCCAAUCUCAGGGUGUUACUAUACCCUAUCAACCUCUCAUAUUGUUCAUUCAAG
ensembl:lncRNA